rnacentral:rRNA from 1 species
CCUACGGGUGGCUGCAGUGGGGGAUAUUGCACAAUGGGGGAAACCCUGAUGCAGCGACGCCGCGUGGGUGAAGAAGCGCCUCGGCGCGUAAAGCUCUGUCAGCAGGGAAGAAAAUGACGGUACCUGAAGAAGAAGCCCCGGCUAACUACGGGCCAGCAGCCGCGGUAAUACGUAGGGGGCAAGCGUUAUCCGGAUUUACUGGGUGUAAAGGGGCCGAAGACGGCGAUGCAAGCCAGGAGUGAAAGCCCGUGGCGCAACCGCGGGACCGCGCUUGGCACCGCCGGGCUAGAGUGCAGGAGGGGCAGGCGGAAUUCCUGGUGUAGCGGUGAAAUGCGUAGAUAUCAGGAGGAACACCGGUGGCGAAGGCGGCCUGCUGGACUGCAACUGACGUUGAGGCCCGAAAGCGUGGGGAGCAAACAGGAUUAGAUACCCGUGUAGUC